AAAAAAAAAAAAACUCUUUUAUCUUCCCGAGCUGAAUUAAAGACAAAAUAUUUCAACACAAAGAAAUGAUGUGUGUUUUCUUUUUAAUUGUUUCCUUUUUUUAUGAAAUUGUUUUUGGAUGAACACAAAAGUAAAGUUUUCCACGGAUGUUUGUGGUGUAAUUUACUUCAGUCGCAUCUCAUAACACGCCCCAAACAUUUGCAUUAUAAUUACAGCAUUUUCUCAUUGUUACAACAUAAUUACAGCCGUCUGAUCGGCGACUACUUCAGCUGGCUCCAAAACCACUUUCUAGUUUUGCAAAUUUUUACUCUUUGUGAAUCCACAAAGCCUUUGGAGCAAACAGCUGCUUUAACCAGCUCCUCACAGCGACUGCUGCCAACCGUAUUUGCAUCUUUUUUUUUCCCCUUCUUGGAACUGCCAACAGUCGUAGCCAUUCCAGAGUUGCAGAAAUCAAAACGUCCAGUGCAUCUUGUUUGUCAGUGGAUGUUGGAUGCUAAUCCCCAGCAUAAAAGUAAAUUUAUUUGAUCAAAGAGAGACAAUUAAUGAACAGUGGGAGGGAAGGCAGAGUUUGAAUGUUAAUUAGAAAAGAUGAAAGAUCAGCGUCGGUCUUCUCAGAUUUUCAGAACUCCCCAGUUUGUACAAAAACAUUCCAGAGGAGAAGGGCAGCCUGGAGUCAGAGCAAGAAUUUUCAUGAGUUUUGUCAAGGCUUUCGGAGAAGUUGAAAACUGUUUUUCCUUCUAGCUUGAAGGUUAAUUCCUUUUAAAUGUGGAAAGGGGAAAUUGAGGUCAAACGAGUGAACGCAAGUGAGUCGCGUUGCUCUAAAUUAAUUUAAAAAAAAUGUAUACUCAAGAUAUUGUUUAAAAUAUGUGUGGAAUGGAUGAAGUUAUAUGGAGUUGUGUUCUGGUAGUAAAUGUGAUCCUUGUCUAUGAAUUGGUCUACGUACCUGAGGGAAGUAGCAAGUUGUAGAAAUGACAAAAUGUUUCCUGUGUUUUUGUGUAAUUGUUUUGACUGAGUUAAAGGAUGAGGAGAGAGUUCAACAUCUGGGAGGGGGUAUUUAAAACACCUGAUGAAUAAAAGGCCGUGACUUGGAGGUAUUUACCCUGACAGCAAUAUUGCAGUGUUUGGAGCUCAUUCAUAAGAGACGUGGUUCGGUUGUUGGUCCAUCAGUAUAUCAAACAAGAGGGUGAUAAAUCUCUCCCACCUGUGGAGGGAAUGCAGGAAAAUGAGACAAUAUUGUGUUAUUGAUGGGCCAGAUGAAAAGACAGCCAGUUUCAGGGCUAUCAGAUGGGUUCCUGCAGGUUUGUCAGAGUGAGGGAGGUGUCAACUUUCCGCCGUGAGGAAGAGUAAUACAGCAGAGAUUAAUGGGUCAAUUUCACAGCCUCCCAGGACGACUGUUGUGGCUUUGGCCGUUUUAUACUGCUGUGGGCUGCUGUCAUCCACAGUGAUAGUGGGCUCUGCAGACAGUGCACUGAUGUUCAGCCUCUCGUGUCCAGAGAAAGUCUGAAGAAUGAAAUGACUUGGUCUCCGGCGGUGACUGACCCACGUUUGGUCCUAACCUUGAACUAAGACAGGAGACUGCUUCGAACUGGACAGUGUGAAAUCAACUUGUUUAUUUAUUUUUUUACAGGAAUGAUGUCCAAGUUGCUAAAGAGUGAUCAGGUGGAAUAGUAUUUGUAUUUUUUUUUAAUACCAAAUUAAUACAGUUCCCUGUGUUCUAAUCUGCUUCUUCUGUUAAAUAUUUGCUUCUUGUCUUAUAUCCAGCCGUGGUGAGUAAAGUAAAGGCGGCUGUCAACUUACUGACGUCUAACUACACAAUCAAUCACAGAUUUGUCCAACGCUGUGUCAAUUUGUGCCAACAAGAGAGAAAGUACAUGAUGGAAGGUUCCCAAAGAGGAGAGAAAGUGCAGCAUCAGUUGUCAGUUGGAUCAAAAAAAUCACUCUGAGGGUCACAGGGGAACCGCAGUCAACUCUGAACUGUAUUCUGUUUUGGGCGUUCAAGAAGACGUCUGGGAACCACUGCUGAAAGGUACAAGGAGCACACUAACCACAUUUUCCACUGUGUGACCCAGUUUGAUGAGCAGUCCGACACACAUGAGUUAAAGAAAUGUACAAAUGGGGAAACUUUAGCAAAACAGAUGAAACUAGAUGAAAAAAGAACAGCCCCAAGCACAGGUACACAGAGAGAAACAAAAGAAAGGGUAGAGAGGAGGAUGAGGUCCAAGUGAAUGAGCACUGCAGUGCUCUCACUGGCACAGUGUUGUGACCUGCCUUGAUUAGUGGGGUUGACCCCCAUAAACUCCUGGGACUGUUUCCUGUCGCUGUUUACUUGAAACACACCCACCAGUAAUACCAAGCAGCCUCUCAGUGCUCUUCACACACGGGCCGUGCAUUUUAAUUUCAGCAGCGCCAUCAUGAGUUUCGUCGACGGUAGCUAACUGACGUGAGGUUCUUCGGGGGCAGCUGUUUUGUGAAUUAGUGUUACACAAAUAAAAAAAAAUGUUUUGCUGUAGAUUGAG